rfam:Canis lupus familiaris chromosome X, whole genome shotgun sequence.
CGGGGGAGGCGGGAUCCUGGGCUGUGUCCCGGCGCCCUGUGCUCCGGUCCUGCGCUGGUGGAUUCGCGCUCCCGGGCCGCCCAACCCCCU